CUUGAAACUGGGACAGAAUUUUCCUAUAAAAAAGGAAAAGUUGUUGAUUACAUUAUCAUCUUUUCGCCCAUGUACAAGAGAUAUACACAUUACGGUUACUGAACAAAAUGGCAGACUUACUGCGUGGUCUGAAAUUGACAAAUAAAGGAAGGAGGGAUAUCGUUACUGUUUCUUGGAAACAAGGCAGUUUUAUUGGUUUUGGAGGGGACCGGACCCAGGUCUACGAAUUGUAUGAAUAUGAAACGCCACAAGGAGGUCUUCUUCCCGUGUACAUACAAAAAGAUUUUAACAAACCCGACAUACUCGUCUGCGAUGAGCGUAUCCAGUAUGGAAUGAACAACGGAGUGCUCUUUCUUGUGUAUCAUGACAAGGAGCAAACGCCCUAUCAACAUCGCUUCGUUUCCAAUCAGAUGCAAAAGGCGGCAUAUCUUUUAAACGAAUUGGUAAAAAAGCAGGCAUACGGCAUUGACCUGUCGUGGAUAGCUGGAGACUAUCUUCGUGAUAUAUGAGCAAGUGUAUUCUCACGCUCAGUUCCAUGAACUGUUAUAUAAUGUGACUUAAUACAUUAAAACCAUGAUAUAAUAAAACACCAGUAAACGUAUUCACUCUCUUUCUUUUAAGGCAACAUUAAACUUUGUGGUCUAGUCGUGAUAAAUGCUUUAUGUUUCAGCUUAUCAUUAGUUUGUAGUACUAUAAACUGUUACGGAUAUAACAUUUUCAGCUAUGAAAUAUAGAAACUGUAGAAACUAACACAGAGAAAUAAAACAAAAUGGUAAGUCACUA
rnacentral:lncRNA from 1 species